AGAGUUUGAUCAUGGCUCAGGACGAACGCUGGCGGCGUGCCUAAUACAUGCAAGUCGAGCGGACAGAUGGGAGCUUGCUCCCUGAUGUUAGCGGCGGACGGGUGAGUAACACGUGGGUAACCUGCCUGUAAGACUGGGAUAACUCCGGGAAACCGGGGCUAAUACCGGAUGCUUGUUUGAACCGCAUGGUUCAGACAUAAAAGGUGGCUUCGGCUACCACUUACAGAUGGACCCGCGGCGCAUUAGCUAGUUGGUGAGGUAACGGCUCACCAAGGCAACGAUGCGUAGCCGACCUGAGAGGGUGAUCGGCCACACUGGGACUGAGACACGGCCCAGACUCCUACGGGAGGCAGCAGUAGGGAAUCUUCCGCAAUGGACGAAAGUCUGACGGAGCAACGCCGCGUGAGUGAUGAAGGUUUUCGGAUCGUAAAGCUCUGUUGUUAGGGAAGAACAAGUGCCGUUCAAAUAGGGCGGCACCUUGACGGUACCUAACCAGAAAGCCACGGCUAACUACGUGCCAGCAGCCGCGGUAAUACGUAGGUGGCAAGCGUUGUCCGGAAUUAUUGGGCGUAAAGGGCUCGCAGGCGGUUUCUUAAGUCUGAUGUGAAAGCCCCCGGCUCAACCGGGGAGGGUCAUUGGAAACUGGGGAACUUGAGUGCAGAAGAGGAGAGUGGAAUUCCACGUGUAGCGGUGAAAUGCGUAGAGAUGUGGAGGAACACCAGUGGCGAAGGCGACUCUCUGGUCCG
rnacentral:rRNA from 1 species